GGUCGGCAAGACUGUUAAUCACAGAAAUGGUUCUGUUAGCCAUGACAGCUGAAUCCACGGCAAAGCACGCAGGACGACGCUGGCAUACACAUGACGUCAUCCUUCCUUCCAGAUCCCCUGGAUUAAUAUUCCAAUAAUAGGAGAGAAGGGGCUGGCUGAAGGUUGAGACGACAUCCCUCCAUGUAUUACUCACCAUUUCACCACAUGACCUGGGCAACCCAGUGCUACACAGUGAGGGGCUAGUGUACAGUAUCUAAUAUAUACCUUGCAGAGCUGUUUCUUGUAGUGGUUUAUAUAAGGAACCAUUCAUUUACAUUGUUGAGGGUACGCUCACCUGAAGGCCACCCCUCCUCCAACACAUGCGCUGUGUUCUCCCCCAUCCACGCUUCCCCUGCAGCUGUCGACCCCCCUGACCUCCUGGUCAAAUCAAUAGCUCUCCUCUCAGGCCUUCUGCUGGCAGCCUGUGCGUGCACACCCUCCAGUGACAGAUGGCGUCAAAGGAUCAUGGCUGUCAUUGUCCUCUGAUGGCUAUUUGUGUGUGUGGAGGACAGCCGUUACUGAAGGGAGAGACUGAAGCGGCUCCGCACACCACUGAGGCCCCCUAGACAGUGGAGGAAUCAGGGCUGCUGCUAGAUUCACUGAAACACCUGAGAGCGAGCUGCUCAUCGACCCACCCCCUUUACUUUAGAUAACCAGUAUGCUAGGAACAUGGCCAGCCAUUCACAUCUCAUCAGUAUAUUAGUGACAGGAAUGGAUUUCCUAACACACAUCAUUGUGUCAUACAGUAGUGAUUCUGUUCAUAACAAAGGCCUGAUUUUGUUCCUAAUAUUUCUGUUGUGUUUAAAGUAAGGAAUUAGCCAUUAAGAAAAAAAAUAAAGAAUGAGAGAAAAAUAAUAAUCA
ensembl:lncRNA